GACGAACGCUGGCGGCGUGCUUAACACAUGCAAGUCGAACGGAAAGGCCCUGCUUUUGUGGGGUGCUCGAGUGGCGAACGGGUGAGUAACACGUGAGUAACCUGCCCUUGACUUUGGGAUAACUUCAGGAAACUGGGGCUAAUACCGGAUAGGAGCUCCUGCUGCAUGGUGGGGGUUGGAAAGUUUCGGCGGUUGGGGAUGGACUCGCGGCUUAUCAGCUUGUUGGUGGGGUAGUGGCUUACCAAGGCUUUGACGGGUAGCCGGCCUGAGAGGGUGAGCGGCCACACUGGGACUGAGAUACGGCCCAGACUCCUACGGGAGGCAGCAGUGGGGAAUAUUGCACAAUGGGCGGAAGCCUGAUGCAGCAACGCCGCGUGCGGGAUGACGGCCUUCGGGUUGUAAACCGCUUUCGCCUGUGACGAAGCGUGAGUGACGGUAAUGGGUAAAGAAGCACCGGCUAACUACGUG
rnacentral:rRNA from 1 species